AUUCCAGGGAGGGAGUUCCACAGCUAGGGCAUUACCACAGAAAAUGCCCUUUCUGCUGCUAGUCAUGAGUCCAGCUGUCAAAGACACUUGAAGAAGGCCCUCAGAAGCAGAUCUCAGCUGAUGGGUUCUAGCUGAGACAGAAAUACAACAGCCUCUGCCUGUGGAAGGUUGACCUGAGCAAAAAUCAAAUGCCCAACAUCCAGCCAGCCAGCCAAAAAUUGCAGAAGACAGGAAGAAAUCUCUUCCAUCAGCCUAUUAAUCUGCCAUAACAAGAGUCUUCAUAAUUAAUUUGUCCCUAACAGUUUCCUUGCAAUGGCAGCAAGAAAAUAUUUCAGGAAUGGCAAUUACCUCUGGUGUCAAAAUGAUGAAGAAAACAAAUGUUCAACCAUCAACAAAAAUAUCAACACCUUCCCCACUCCCCUUUCGCUAUCAUGGAUGACAGAGCCGCACACUGGAAUUACACUGCAAUUAAUUAUGGGGCCAUGUUGUGAUUCAACGUACAUUUUCCAUUUAAAGAUAAAAAAUGUAAAGCAAUCCAGGUGGAGGGGGGCAUCUGCCAUCAGGGAGGGAGGGCAGAUUGUUGCAGGAGUGGCCUAAUCUAUGCAUUGCAUCUUCUUUAAUUAACUGCACAUAUGUCCCACAAUUUACAACCAGUCAACAGUUUAUUUAUAUAUUUAAGGAACUUUCAUUAAUUGCACAUAUGUUGCACAGUUAUUCUUUUCAAAGCAAGU